GGGCGAGUGGUGGAAUUGGUAUACACGCCAGCCUUAGGAGCUGGUUCCGCAAGGAUUAAGGGUUCGAGUCCCUUCUCGCCCACCA
rnacentral:tRNA from 1 species